rnacentral:rRNA from 1 species
AACGAACGCUGGCGGCGUGCCUAACACAUGCAAGUCGAGCGAGAAAGUCUCCGCAAGGGGGCAAGUAAAGCGGCGCACGGGUGAGUAACACGUGGGUAACCUGCCUGGAAGUCCGGAACAACCUUCCGAAAGGAGGGCUAAUGCCGGAUAAGACCACGGGGACCUCGGUCCCUGAGGUAAAAAGACGGCCUCUGCACGCAAGCUGUCACUUCUAGAGGGGCCCGCGGCCCAUCAGCUCGUUGGCGGGGUAACGGCCCACCAAGGCUACGACGGGUAGCUGGUCUGAGAGGACGAUCAGCCACACUGGAACUGAGACACGGUCCAGACUCCUACGGGAGGCAGCAGUGGGGAAUUUUGCGCAAUGGGCGAAAGCCUGACGCAGCAACGCCGCGUGAGUGAUGAAGGUCUUCGGAUCGUAAAGCUCUUUCGGCCGGGACGAAAACGUCGGAGCGAACAGCUCCGGCCUUGACGGUACCGGAAGAAGAAGCACCGGCUAACUCUGUGCCAGCAGCCGCGGUAAUACAGAGGGUGCAAGCGUUGUUCGGAAUUAUUGGGCGUAAAGCGCGUGUAGGCGGCAGAGCAUGUCGGGUGUGAAAGCCCUCGGCUUAACCGAGGAAGUGCGCCCGAAACUGCUCAGCUCGAGUGCUGGAGAGGGUAGCGGAAUUCCCGGUGUAGAGGUGAAAUUCGUAGAUAUCGGGAGGAACACCAGUGGCGAAGGCGGCUACCUGGACGGACACUGACGCUGAGACGCGAAAGCGUGGGGAG